rnacentral:rRNA from 1 species
CCUACGGUAGACAGCAGUGGGGAAUAUUGCACAAUGGGGGAAACCCUGAUGCAGCGACGCCGCGUGAGUGAAGAAGUAAUUCGUUACGUAAAGCUCUAUCAGCAGGGAAGAAAUACUGACCUUACGGGCAGCAUACGGUACCUGCGGAAGAAGCCCCGGCGAACUACGUGCCAGCAGCCGCGGUAAUACGUAGGGGGCAAGCGUUAUCCGGAUUUACUGGGUGGAAAGGGAGCGUAGACGGUGCGCCAAGUCUGGAGUGAAAGGCCGCAGCUUAACUGCGGAACUGCUGUGGAAACUGGCGAACUAGAGUGCGGGAGGGGUAAGCGUAAUUCCUAGUGUAGCUGU